GUCCAUUCUGGUGGGGGCCGACGACCAACCCGCGUUCCUGAUGCCGGUGUCGGACACACGGGUGGAUGACUGCGCGUUCUGGUUUGUUCGACGGGCGC
rnacentral:tRNA from 1 species